CAGGGAGUAGUUUAAUUAAAAUGCCAGCUUUGGGAGUUGGUGAUGAGGGUUUGACUCCUUUCUCUCUGA
rnacentral:tRNA from 1 species